rnacentral:rRNA from 1 species
GACGAACGCUGGCGGCGUGCUUAACACAUGCAAGUCGAGCGGUAAGGCCCUUUCGGGGGUACACGAGCGGCGAACGGGUGAGUAACACGUGGGUGACCCGCCCUCAGCUCUGGGAUAAGCCUGGGAAAACCGGGUCUAAUACCGGAUAUGACUCCAUGACGCAUGUUGUGGGGUGAAAGCCUUGUGCGGCUGAGGAUGGGCCCGCGGCCUAUCAGCUUGUUGGUGGGGUGANGGCCUACCAAGGCGACGACGGGUAGCCGGCCUGAGAGGGCGACCGGCCACACUGGGACUGAGACACGGCCCAGACUCCUACGGGAGGCAGCAGU